GGACGGCUCAUUAACACGUGGUUAACAUACCCUCAGGUGGGGGAUAACCUUGGGAAACUGAGGAUAAUACCCCAUAGAAAAAGCAGUCUGGAACGAUUCUUUUUCGAAAGCAUAUGCGCCUGAGGAUUGGACUGCGCUCGAUUAGGUAGUUGGUGGGGUAAUGGCCCACCAAGCCUACGAUCGGUACGGGCCUUGAGAGAGGAAGCCCGGAGAUGGGGACUGAGACACGGCCCCAGGCCCUACGGGGCGCAGCAGGCGCGAAACCUCCGCAAUGCACGAAAGUGCGACGGGGGGAUCCCAAGUGCUCAUGCACAGCAUGGGCUUUUAUCAAGUGUAAACAGCUUGAGGAAUAAGGGCUGGGCAAGUUCGGUGCCAGCAGCCGCGGUAACACCGACGGCCCGAGUGGUGGCCACUUUUAUUGGGCCUAAAGCGUCCGUAGCCGGUCCAGUAAGUCCUUGUUUAAAUCCUGCGGCUUAACCGCAGGACUGGCAGGGAUACUGCUGGACUUGGGACCGGGAGAGGACAAGGGUACUUCAGGGGUAGCGGUGAAAUGUGUUGAUCCUUGAAGGACCACCUAUGGCGAAGGCACUUGUCUGGAAC
rnacentral:rRNA from 1 species